CACAAAGUUUAGAAAUUAUAUUUUUAUGUUGGUUGUUGUAGAACCAUAUUUUAAUUUAAAAAAAUAACGGUAAAAUAUUCGAAUAAAAACUAUUGCAUGUAUUGUGAAAAAUUCGCUGUGCCAAUACUUUUUCCCGGCAGUGUACAUAUAUAUUUCAUUUGUAGU